rnacentral:rRNA from 1 species
GAUGAACGCUGGCGGCGUGCCUAAUACAUGCAAGUCGAGCGAAAGGACGCGAAGCUUGCUUUUCUGAUGUUAGCGGCGGACGGGUGAGUAACACGUGGAUAACCCACCUAUAAGACUGGGAUAACUGCGGGAAAACGGAGCUAAUACCGGCUAAUAUUUUGAACCGCAUGGAUCAAAAGUGAAAGACGGUCUUGCUGUCACUUAUAGAUGGAUCCGCGCUGCAUUAGCUAGUUGGUAAGGUAACGGCUUACCAAGGCAACGAUGCAUAGCCGACCUGAGAGGGUGAUUGGCCACACUGGAACUGAGACACGGUCCAGACUCCUACGGGAGGUCUCAGCCGGGACGCCUCCGUAACGGGCUAGAGUUUGAUGCUGCCACGGCGUGGAAGUACAGAAGAACUGCGGGCUGGUAACAGGCGUUCCAAGGCAAGAACAUCUGAAGAAUUAGCGGUUGUUAGAUUGCCGGUACCAAGACAGAAUGCCACGGCUAACUUCAGU